rnacentral:misc_RNA from 1 species
AAUUUGACAACAUGAAAAUUGACUCACCAAAGUCUAUUAACAAGAGUCUUUUGUCACAAUUUGAGGAGAAAACAGAGGAUUUUGAGGUUGAAAAAGAUGAGAUAAUUGAAGAAAAUGGUAAUAGCGGAUUGAACUUGUUGAACAAGAGUUUAAAUGGUAUUGGUGCUAUUUGUUCUUUUGGUGUUGCUGCUGCUGCUACUAUUUGCAUCAUAUUCAUUGGGAAUCACCAAAAACAUAAGCAGAAUCAGAAGAUUAGGUUCCAAAUCUUUACUGAUGACAAGAGGAUCAAGCGUGUAGUUCAACAUGCAACAAGAUUGAAUGAAGCAAUUUCAGCAGUGAGAGGAGUUCCAGUUACAAGAGCACAAAUUACUGUUGGAGGCUACUAUGAUGCUCUUUAAAUGUUCGGUCCACGGAUCGUAAACUUCUUUUUUUCAGAGAAGAAGCAACGACGGUAUCUAUCUGAAGAAUAAGUGUUGGUUAACUUUGUGCUAUCAGACUAUAGUACAUAAAUAUAGGAUUUUUAUUAUCAUGUUGUAGAUAUAUAAUUCCAAGAUUCUACAGAGCUUUUAGUGAAGUCUUCUAUUAUGAAAAAAAAAAUGGUGUAUGGUUAAGAUAAAUGCAAUAUUAUUCCAUGAGUUGUUAAA